UCUCGUUUUAUUUUUCUUCUCCUUUAACAAAUCUCUCUUGUUCUUUUCUUUCACAAAUCUAAAAAAUCGAAAGGGUAAAAGCUACUCAUCCAGGAACGAAAAUCGCUUGAUAUUAGCUCUCCACCCAUGAUGUGAUAAGAGCAAAGACAAACCCUAGAACCCAGUAAACCAAAUCAUUAUUCUCAUCUAGCAGAUCUAUAUUCGAGUUAUUCUUUUUCUUCGAAGGUAAAUUAAUGAAACCCUUGAUAACUUCUGCCGUUUUUUGAUAUUUAUAUGAUCUAUGAUACCAUGCAUCUAAUAGAUUGAAUUUUCACUAUUUUGGUGAACAACAUAUUUCAAUUGGUCGGGUGGUGAUGGAAUAAAGUUGAUAUUACUAAUUUUAAGUUAGUUGCUGGAAUGUGGGUUUAUCCAUCAUGGGAGGUUGGUGUAAUUUCUUGACCCUGUUCUACAUAGGAGGUUUCGCAUUAAUGUUUUUGCUACUAUUUUCUUUGAAAUGCUGGAUCUCUUCCACCUAUGUUACCCAAUCAAGUUCGCAAACUCAAGCAACUUAGUCUGCUCACUCUGGCUGAGAUAGACAAGAUGCGAGGAGCUGGGGAUUGGAAACAUAGAUGAUGGACGAGGCUCGAACGUAGGAAGCGUUUAUUUCACUUGAUGAAUGAACUCCCAACAAUCUUUGAAGUUGUUGUUGUAGCUGUAAAAAAGCAUCACUUUAAGGAGAAAUCUUCAGUGUCAAAUCACAGCAGCAACAAAUCAAUCCUAUUUCAAAAACGGAGAAGAUUGCUGCCAAGACAGAUGAAUUCAUUAAAGUCCACAAAAAGGUCAUGCGUGUUUUGAUGCCAAUGCUGGAAUUACUUGAAAUGACAACUUUGUCUAUGCUCGCUGGAAUUACUUGAAAUGAUAACUUUGUCUACGCUAGCGUUAAAUGGUAUGAUAACAAACCUUAUUGAUUCAUUUGUAUAUUUUUAUUCUCUUGCAACUUCUUAUCUCAUUGUGUAUUAAUUAAGUUAAGCUUGUUUUUACUUGGUUGCAUCUCAGAAAGUGUUGGCUUUGAAUUGUGCUUGGUUAUAUAAAAAAAAAAUUGGUUGCAAGUAUCAUAAUGAAUAGACCUUUGUGCUUGUGUUUCCACAAUAUAUGUACAAGUGUUGAAAUGUGUAUUGCAAAAUGUGUAUCGCAGGCCUGUGUUUCAUGAUAAAUUGUGUGGCAGGCCUGUAAACUGGAAGCCCAGGUCCGUUAUAAUGGAUCUGGACUAUCCAUUUUUUUAAAUUGUAAUUAGAGAAUUUCACAGAA